UUUUUCCUUUUUAUGCUACUUUGCUUCACGGAUCUCUCGAGGCGUUUGGUUUUGUGGUUCUCUCCGUCGUGGAUGGCUUCGCUCGUCGUCGCUGCUACCAAGCCAAAGCCCUCUGGAUCCUUUCUCUCACGUGUAACCUCUUCAGCCGCUACUAACUACGUCUGUUUCAGAUCUACUUUUGACUACUUGUGUGUGGGGAUCCAUACUUAUCCUGGUGGUUUGAACUGAAACUGUAUCUCUCCGGCCAUAUCGUUGGGUUCAAGGUACUCACUUGUUUUCCCUCUCUGCCUUGUUCUAUUGCCCUGAUUUCAGAUGCAGAUCUGAUCAUCGGUGUGUGUGGUUUCACUUCUAUCACUGCACGCAAGUUUUGACGGCUGGGGACUCCCACCGCGAAUACCUCCUGCAGCUGUACACACUGACGAUUGCUCAUUCUCUUUAAGCUGGUUAGACUUCAUUGACCUGAGGCUCAACUCUGUUUCGGAUAAACCCUCUUGGCUCCAACACGGUAAUGUUGAAGCUGCGAAAAUUUUAUGCCUGAUCUCAGUUAUUGUCUUCAUGGAAUCCAUCUUCAAGCUCAAUCCUCUUUCAGUCUGGGUGAAGCCACAAAUGUUAGGAUCAUAAGGAUAUACUCUAAUCCUUGGUGCAAUCUUUGGAGGUUUUCCAAAAUGUUCAAGCAUAGCCCACCAUCAAAGUUCAACUCCAACAAGAACAAAUACCAAGAAAUUUAGGUCAGUAAGUUGGAGUCUAUCGAAGCUUGGAGAUUGUAGUCCCUUAGCACUUUUCUUAAUAAAGGCUAGCCAAACUUCCUCGUGUCGGGGCCAUGAGAGACCACUUUUCACCAUCCUCCACUUCGUAGGAGUGACAACUUCCACCAAAAUCCCUCUUCACUCUUUCUUUGGCUAUGUAGUCAAUGAUCAUUGUCGAUUUCCUUACCGUUUGUUGCCUUAUGUGAUGGUUCGUUUGGGACCGGAAGGCAACACAAUACUCGAUUCGAUGAGCAUCGAGGUUAUGGAGCAUUCAACGUCACGAUAUACGGUGACUAUUCCCGUUGAAGAACUUGAAGGACGAUGUAAUCUCUCUUGGAGCUUACUCGUAUGUGGCACCUUUGAACUUUCUUUCGACUUGUUAUCAGGCUUGUCAAAGCUUGUGUCUCUAUCUUUCUAUUGCCUUGUAUUGAAUGUAUCCAGUAGGAUCGCACAUCUACUUUCAGAUGUUGAUUUUAUCUUUCUAGUUGGCUAAGUUUUAUGAAUGAAAUAUGUUGUGUUUCAAAAAAAAAACAAACAAACCAAUAUGAUAAUCACUAUUUUCAACACUUUUUUUUACAAUAGUGAACAAGCUCAUCUAUGACCGACCCUCUUUCCAGUGACUCAUUGUAAUGUAUUUCAACUGGGUCACCAACCUAAAAACAAGAUCAAUCUCUCUUAAGGUAACUCUACGAACACACGUGAUUUAUAAAAUAUCCACUCAAAUUAAUCAUUUGAUUUAAUUACACAAUUUGUUUGAAUUAGAGUAAUUGCGAUUAGGAAUUGAAAACACAUAUAAAAUAGUGAUUGCCCACAAUUAAAUUUCUUGAAAUUUUAGGAUUUUUCUGUAGCCCACAACUUAAAUGGUUCAUCAACUAUCCACAAAACUAAUUAUUUCGUGUUAAUUACAAAACCAAUGAAGACAUAGAAGGCCACCCAAGACAGUGCUUAGAAGUGGGAGAUGGUCUUGUAUCCAUUUUGUUUAACUUUUUAGUACCUCUCCUUUUGAUUACAUAUGUUUUCUUUACAACACUAUUUAUCGUGUGUUGCGGAUUUGUCUACCAUAGUUAGAAACCUCAAGAACUCAAUCAUGAAUAAGAAUAACUCUCUUAUUAUCUUAAGGAAAAAUAACUUAAAACCUUAAGCUCACAAUCUCUCAAUCUCUAAACCAUAAGUUAUAUCACAAAUUGACAGCUUCUUAUAUAGAGAUCUAAAUAUCCUAAACUCAUCAGGACUUAUAUACUAUUUAGAUAACUCCUAAAUUAUAUAUUUAACACUCUUAUAAGCAAACUAGGCAUUAGAUAACUUGUCAACCUAGUUAUUUAUUAAGUGUAUCUCCUCUUUAAACUUGAUGUUAACUUGAGUGACAUCUUGAACUCCCACCAAGUAUGUCAUCUCUUUGUAUUUCAAUCUCCUAAGUGCUUUUGUCAAGAUGUCUAUUCUCCGUUCACUCUCGGGUAUACGUUGUACCUCGAUCAAAUCAUACUCAUCACUCUGGUAUGAGGUGAUAUAAGGCAUGUUUCAUGGCUUCCAUCCCUGCCAUGUUGUCCGCUUCACAUGACGAUAACUCAACAGUCUUUUGUUUGCUCGAACACCCACGUAAUUGGACUUUUAUCAACAUAAUAAAUUUUGUCCUGUCGCACUCUCGCCAUCAUCCGGGUCAACUCUAUGGUUACUAUCACUAUCUCCACCAAUUGGUAUCCUAGAAGUUGCAUGUAUUGUAGGUUCUCGAGACUCUUUGGAUCUUUCCACAUAGAAAGAUCUGGUCUGGUCGUAUAAAGUAAGUAUCUAAGACAGUCAACAUUCCUCAUGAAUCUUGUGACAUUGUUGUCUCCUUAAGAUAAUAAGAUAGUUAUACAUGAUUGCAAUGAUAUAAUGAAGACUUUUAGUUGUAACUCACAAGAACAUGUUUUGGUUAGAUCAGUCUGAUCCAGGGUUGUGACCGGUGAUGGUUUCGGUUAUCUUGUUGGCUCCAUAGUCUUUGAAUUUGUUAUAAGCGUAGUUCAUUGAAGUAAAAAGUAUACGAUCUUAAACUUCAAGAUCGGAUUCAUUACUUUCUUAUGGGUUGUUUCUUCAACAGUGAGAAAUGCUUUUUGCUUAUAUCUCUGGAACAUGUUGCUCUGAUACAACAUAUAGUUUAGAAACCUCAAGAACUCAAUCAUGAAUAACUCUCUUAUUAUCUUAAGGAAAAAUAACUCAAAAACAAGUUAUGUUACACAUUGAAUCUUCUGAUAUAGAAAUCUAAAUAUCCUAACUUGACAACUCCUAAAUAAUAUAUUUAACACUUAUAAUUAAACUAGGAAUUAGAUAACUUGUCAACCAAGUUAUUAUCAAGUUUAUCUCCAACAUCUACAAGUUGGUUCUUGCGUCUUUCUAAACUGUUUAUAUUUUCAACAGCAAAUGAAAAUGCAAAUAUUUGUCAACCAUUCGUUAGCUUGUCACUACCUUCAUUUAGCUUUAGCAUGCAAACUGCUUAGCAACAGUAAUGGUAGAUAAAUAGAGCCUCUCGCUCAUACUCAGCAUGAAGGAUUAAAGGUAAUAAUAAUAUACUGGCUAAUGCAAGUUGGAAGUUUGUGACUUUCAAUUAGAGUGUCGUUUAAUGAAAAUCCUACAACGAUAUUUUGGAGUACGGUUUGUACCCACCUUUUGUUUGUUUAACUGUUAGACCAUCCGCAACGGGGGUCCAUAACUGUCUCUUAGCAUUAAUCCUUAGGAUAGUUUUUAAUAUAAUAAUAGUUAUUAUGUUAAUUUAGGUAAGGAUUGGUCCGUCCGGAAGGAGUUUAAGGAUCUGAUCCUUGUGUACGUGGCAACGUUUGAGUGGGACGGGUUCUGUUUGUGCUGGGCUGGGUUGAAAAAAAUUAGGUCAUUCUCGACCGAGACAGAAAAAAAAAGAAGCUCUCGACGAUUAGGCGGAAAACUGGUACUACCAAACUUGUCGGAUCCAGUCGGAUCUCCGCCCGAUCCAAGACGUUCUCGCCGAAUUCAACUCCAAGUUCACCCGCUCUCGUUACUUCCCCGUCUGCUCCUCUCUUCCCAUCCUCUUACAGGCACGUGCUCUCGUCCCCCUCCCGUUACCGAGCUCUGUUCUCGAUUUCGUGACAGUAGCGAGCUCUGGUGGGCGGAUGCAAAGGAUUUGAUUUUGAAUCUAGGGUUUUACUGAGUGUUCGAAUUUAUAGGCUGCUUGUAAUAACGAUGUCUAUUGCGUUUUGUAGGCUGCUUGUAAUGGCAAGCGGAGAAGUAUGAGAGAGCUUUCCUUCUCCACCUGUUUCAGUGGAAUAGCUACAACAACGCUAAAGAGGUAUAUGAUGUAGCGGUUUCUUGUAGCCUUUUUUUUCCCAUGUAAACUCAAAAUGUGGGGCUCUUGUUUUUGUUAAGCAUGUUAUGUACUCGAUGAAUUCGUGUUUUAUAAUUGUCCUGUGAACAAACAAUGUCCAUGCUAUUUUAAUGUUUUAUUGAGAAUCUCUCUAAACACUGAUUAAUUAGAACAAUUGAUUUCUUAAAGCUGUUAUGAAAUCACUUUUCUCAUACUCUCGUAUUUUCUUAAUUGUCCCGACCUGUGGAUUCUAAUUAAGUAUUCGUGCUCUCUUGCAGAUUCUCAAACUGUCAGCUGCUGAUUAUAUCAAAACGUUUGAUCCUUUAACUAAUGUAAGAGCGGAUGACGCAUAGAGACAUCUUAUAUAUUCUAAUUACAUCUCUAAUCCAUCUUAUCUUCCUCGCAACUGUUCCUGUAUCAUGCCUAACACUACUUGGAGAAACUUUUCUGGUUAGUGAUUUAGUAUGUUGAUGUUCUGUCAGGAAUUUUCCCGAGCUAGGAGAGCUGCAACGAGAGUAUGGCAAUAAAGCUGAUGGACCAUCUAGUCACGUGUUUGCCGACUAUGCUCUCAAAAGCUAUUGCAUGAUCCUGAUGUUCCUCGUGGGUGCGAUCCUAACUCUCCAGAGUACGAAACCGAUGAGUUAGGGGGUUCCGGUUCUUGUUAACCGCUAUAUAGAUUUAACUAUGAUCAUUUUCUCGCAAGCUUCCAGUUUUCCGUGUUUUAUUAUCAAUUGCCAGUUUUUAGUUCUUAUCUUCCUCUCUACCAAACUUGUUUCCUCUCUAGCUAGUUAUCUCUUUCGGUUUGUUUCGUCUCUAUCAGAACUUGUUUCCUUUCUUUCCUUUUGGUACUACUGUAAAAUCUUGUUGCUACAACUCGAAGUUGCCACAAGUGUAAUCUUGUUUCUUAUCUUAUAUGCUUCUCUUAUGUUGUUUUCGGCUAAGGCUAGUAUGUUAAACUUGAAUUUGGCUUGAAUUGGCUGUAAACAUUUUUAAACUUGUAUCAAACGUAGAUAUUGUUAAACUUCUAUCACACUUAUAGAAACCAUAUUAAAUGAAACUUAUAGUUUUAAAACUUAUACAAUUAAUAAAAUUUCAAUUUAAUUAAAAAAAAAUAUUCCUAAGGACUCCAUCUUCGGAAUCACCAUUGGACGAACAAUUUUGAUUCGAAUCCUUAACUAUUCAAACAACACCAAAAAGAAAAAAAAAUUAUUAAAAAAAUGCUAAGGAUUCAUGGGUUGGUCUCACCAUUGCACAUGCUCUUAUGUUCUGUUUAUGUUACUGUCUCCAACUUUGUGUGUUUUGACUCUUUCCUUUGGCUUCGUUUUUUUCUGACGAUGCAGGAGUAUGUAGCUACAAGAUGGUACAGAGCACCUGAGCUCAAUGGAUCAUUCUUCACUAAGGUACGUGUUACUAUGGACUUGCGUACUUUAUGUACCAGGUGUAAUUGGUGUCCGUUUUAUACCAGUUGUAUAACUAAUAAAUUAUGUUUCUUUGUUACAGGUUCGAAAUGAUAUAGCUAGAAAAUACUCGACUGAAAUGAAAAAAAAAGUUGAAAUAGACGUCAGAUCAUGAACCACCCUAAGAUAUAUCAAUUAAGAAACAACCACUGGCCCUUGAGGCUAAGUUGUUACAAGCACAAUCACAGUUUGGUCCCGCUGGAUCUUCAGCAAUUGCCGUAGCAGCACACAGGAGUAGUUACGGCACAGCAUCGUAGAGAGUAGACUCAUCAAACAACAUUUUUAACCAUAAUCAUCCUCCAGAUCCAGACAACAUGAGACCAGGGGGCUCCCGUCUUUUUGUGUAGAGUAUUAUUGGCCAGGCUCUGAUUUUGAACGACUUUGCAAUGAUAUAAUGAAGAAUUUUAGUUGUGACUCACAAGAACAGGUUUUGAUUAGAUCANNNNNNNNNNNNNNNNNNNNNNNNNNNNNNNNNNNNNNNNNNNNNNNNNNNNNNNNNNNNNNNNNNNNNNNNNNNNNNNNNNNNNNNNNNNNNNNNNNNNGAAGCAUAUGAAACUUCUUCCGGUAAACAAACACAACAUGGAAUUCAAAUGGUAUUAUCAUUGUUCCUUGCCGAUGUCUAUGUAUUAUUUUAUUGAGUUGUUGUUUCGAGCAUGAAUUCAAGCUAUUCUAAAUGUGUUGAUGUGGUUUGUAUUUUUUCAGACAAGUAGCAAGUGUCUUCAAAAAGGACAUACCAAGCGAACAUGCUCAAAUGAAAUAGCGAUUAUUCCUCCAAAAAAGCCUCGAGGUCGUCCAUCAAAACAUCAGAUGAGUGAAGAACAAUCUGUGGAGACAACACCUACACUACAAAGCCAGCCAACACCCACGUUACAUACUUACUAUAGCCAAACAGCACCUCUAUUUCAUAGCCAACAAAUGUUCCUAUAGAAAGUCAUGGUGUUUUCCAUAGUUCGUUAACAGGAGACGACUAUGUAUGUGUUGGUCGGACCGUUCGAGACUUGAGUAAUAACAUCGUGUUACCUACGUCACUUUUCAGAGAACACGAGCGAAACAAGAUGAGUAUUCGACGACGCAAGUGAUGAAAGAUUCUGUAUUUUAUUUUGUUAUAAGUUUAUAGCAAUUGACAUUUUGUACGCUUAUAAUUUCUUGACUCUAGUUGUUAUUUUUUUGAGGAUAAUUUAUUUUUGUUAUGAUUUAUUAACUUUAUUAUAGUAUAAAUCUACAUGUUUUAUAUUGCUAUUUAAGAUUUUGCAUGACUUUGUCACAAAACCUUACGUUUAUUGGUUUUCUUGAUCAACUCAAACACAGCAUUUGUCACCGUUAAUCAGUUCACGGUUUGUUAACGUAGGGUGCAUUUAUGAUUAUUUUAUAAGGUCAGGGUUUUAAAUCCCAUUAAUAAAGGUGAGGAUUUUUUUUAAUGUUUUGUAAAAAGUUAAGGGUUUCUUUUCCCAUUUUCCGAAUUUAACACUACCCAAAAAGACUAUCAACAAAAAAAAUAUCGUAUUUUACUAACUUUUUAUCAUAAAAAAAUAUCGUAUGUUGUAUUGUUUCUAUUGGAUUAAUAUUUGUUUUUUUCUUCAUGUUCUGGCAAAGAUAAAAUAAAAUCACGAUGAUAGCAUCUAUAAUAUUAUUCCUUUUGCAAUUUCUGUUGAAAUGCUACAUGAAGAGCAAGUAUAUGUUUCUUGGUUUAUUUAAACUCAUAAUUAUGUAUAAUAAGGAAAGAAACUAGAAUCAGAUAUUCUUUUAAAUAAAAAGAUAAUCUCUUAAAAAUAAGAUUUAUGCUUGAUGUUUUACAUUCAGUGUGCUAUGAUGAAACUGGAAUUUUGCAAAAAUUUGCAUCCCAAACUAAAGAAAAUUUUCAGAGUAAAAAUAUUUACAUUCAGUUUAUGUAUAUUUGAUAAUGAUCAAAUGAACCAAAACUCUAAAUGUUGUAAGAGAAACAUAACAAAAGCUCAAUACAAACUUUGCAACCAAGUAAAGUGAAUAGAAAAUUAAACUGAAAUUUAGAAGACAACUAUUAAUCACUUUGUUCGUCUAAAACAAAGAAUGUUACUAUUAUUCUAAUAGAACUUAAGUAUUAUAUUUGUUAUCUACAAAUAUAAAUACAUUAAGUACUAGCAUGAAUCGGGUAGAUACAUUUUGCUAAAAAAUACACUGUUGUAACAUAAUAAAUUAUCCUUUCUUUUCCCGUAUGCAAUACGGGUAGAAUACUAGUAAUCUAUAGUUUUAGAAGUAGUAUUUCACUUGCACGGUUUAUUACCUAGUCUUUUGAUUAAGUAGCUUCAAGAUCGAACAAUGUCAAAUUGUGGGAAUUAUUGGUAGGUCUACUAAACUAUAUUACUGUCUUUUUCUCAUAUACAUUAUUCUUAUUAAGUCUCUUCAUAAAAACUGGUUAACUUCCACAAGUCGCUGCGCAUCAUUUCUGCACAACCUCUGCGUUUGGUCAACAGUACCAACAACUUUCAAGCAUCUUCUGCCUUUUUUAUUUCUCUUCUUCUCUGCGUUUACUUUGGUGUGACCAAAAAAACAAACUAGGGAAAAAUGGAGGUUCCAAUAUGGAAAUGGUGUUUGAUCGUAAUAGGUAUCAUAUUCUUGGCAAUUGCUUCUCAUUUUCUGGGAAGAUUCUUGUGCAGCCCUCGAGAGAGAAUCACCGAUGGUAAGAUUGAAAAGAAACAUGGACCAGAAACAGCCGCUCAAGGACAGACUGAAAAGAAAGCCGGUGACCAACUUGUAUGAUAAUGAUCCUCGUCAAGUUUCUUUGUUCAGAUUGGAUUGUCACUUAGACUCACCUGUAAACUAUAAGUCUCAUGCUAUUUUUUUUUCUCUUCUUGUAAAACAAUCACAUCCCAUGUAUAUGAGAUCUUUUUUACUUUCUAUUAUCACAAAAUUUUACUAUCUGAGAAACGAGAGACUAAUAAAACUAUAAGUUUCUCGAUUUGUAAACUAAAAACGCAAUUCUAUCAUUCCGCAACUUAUCAGUCAUGUCUUUUUUAAGUCAAAAUGUUUAUUUUAUUACUGAAAGAUGAAAUGUUUUAGAAAGCAAAACAAGAAUAGAGCAACAAACAAAAACAAUCUUUUUAUGGAUAGAAAUAGCACUCCUAGCUAGAAGAUUGAAAGAUUGAAAACGUCUUCUAAGUCUUGUGAAUUCCUUAAGCUUGGUUGAAAAGUGUAUCACACUCCCGAUGUGGAUCAUUGUGAUAAGCUCUUGACAAUCAGCUGUGAAGGCUUGAACUGUGGACCCUAAUAUUUAUAGUUUUUAGCAAAUAGGGCCCUAACUUUUUUAAAGAAAAACAAAGGACCCUGUGCAAAUGUGCCUUGAGCACAUGUGCUAAGCCGGCACUGACUGCAAGGGUUGUCGCAAAUCGCAAUUGAAAUCUAUAGUAGUGUAUGGUGUAAUUAUCAUAUGAAUGGCUCAUUCUUAAGAAUCAUGUCCACUUUUUUUGUUUCAUUCAACGAAAAGAUAAGAAGAAAAGUCAUAAUAAUAUUCUUUUAAUAUCUAUUAUAUAUUUCUUACCCAAGAUAAAUUCGAAGUGUUACACAGAAAUUUGAAAUUUAAAAACUCGUUGGUUAUUAUUUUCCACACAUCAUCUCAACUGUUCAUUUCAAUGUCACACAAACUCAUAAUCAGACAUCUACUUUGUGUAUAGAUGGUGUGUAUGUGUACUUGCAAAUUGUGUUAUUAAAUCUAAUGGAGUGCUUGUUUCUUCAAUACACACUCCUAUGAACAGGAAAAUAAGAAUGGUGGCAUUGUUCCCUAUCCGAAUCACUUCCAUAUCUCACUGUCCAUAUGCCACAAUGGUAAAUUGCAGCAUUCUAACCUUUAAAUACCACAAUGGAUCCUCCUAAGUAUAUCACUGCUUAAGCUACGUCAUGUGACGUUGAGGAUCCACAUUCUUCUGCAAGGUACAAAUCCAGAUUUAAGUUUCAUUCAUGGCUUUCUUGGUUGGUAAGUACCUCAACAAAUGAAAAUUAACAGAUGAGCAUGAAUGAUUAAAAUAGUGUAUGUACCUGCAAGUAUGCAUUUCUGCUGCAUCUUAGCUAAAGAGACACUCGACAAUAGGUAUGUACCUGGAAGUCUGAGCCAUGUUACCUUCUUUUAUGGAUCUUUCUCAAAGUGUCAGUGAAAAAGUGUUAAUGUGAUGUCAUGAACAUGUUUAAAAACCAAACGUGAACCCCAGCCGUCAGAUUACAAUAACCAAAAGAAAAUAAAGCUUUCCAUCAGCGAAUGCAAGCACAAUGUUUAUGAAAAAAGCUUGUACCUUAACUGUUAAAUCUUUCUUCAGCUCUAUCAUUUAAAGCAACAUGCCUUAAAGUGAACCUCACUAACAACAGAGAGAGCAACUUCAUUCGCCCCUUGAUCGAUCGUACACCUCCUUACAACUUGCAAGGCCAAACACUCUAUCUAAAGGCAUAUGAAAUCAAAGAUUACAUUUGAUCAAGAAGCUGGAAAAAUAAGCAAGUAUUACCAAAUGUAGAUGCAGUGGGUAUAUUGGAUGGUCGAAAACGGAACGAUAGCUCAUGUAUAUGACUGUUUCAUCAAUGAUACACUUCCAAUCUACCACGUCAUCCUUACUCUUUCUUUCACACUUAAUAGACGCAGACGAACCUUGCAUUUGAUCUUCUCCUGUAGCCAUCUCUAUCCCUCCCCUUCCGUCAAUCACCUGAUCUUACCCCCGAAUAAAUCAUGACGAAAAAGAAAAGCGAAUCAGUGAAUCAUAUGCUUAGCCCUAUAAAGGAUCGAGAGGAUUGCAAUGAUGAAUUUAAAGGCAUGAGACUAACCUCUAACCUUUUAUAAUCGAAGAUUAACACAAUGGAAUUAAUGGAGAGAAUGCAUUCAAUGACAAAUCAUGGAGGAGUGGGGAGCUGUUGUUUAUGAGGACAUUAAAGCCCACGCCUCAAUUCAACCGGUUUCCGUAACGUUCUCCAGUUUCAUUAGCCGUAAGUCAGAAAUCGUAUGAUGAGACACUCGGUGUAAGGUUCCAACAGAUAUUGCUGGGAAACAGUUAGUCGGUGAGAUGAACAGACUCAUCGUUUCUUCGGCGUUGACGAACUUUUUCGUGUUAUUAGUUACGACGGAGAAUCUUAGACGAUGAGGAUGAAUGGCCUACCGUUCAAUUAAGGCUGAAAAAUAUCAAUCGACAACUCAAUAUUAAGCCCAUGGUGAAACACAACAGAUUGAGUUAAGAACGCAUUUAAGUUAUGACACAUGUCUUCGUCUGGUGCUCUUAAUUAGUGACGUGGCAUCCCAUGUGGAUGGCCUAAGAGAGAGAGAAACUCUAUUUUAUAUAUAUAGAUAGAUAUAUCUUAAAAUAUUAUUUAUAAUUGUAUUUGUAGUAAUCACAAAUUAAAUAUAUUAAUUAUUUUGAGUAUAAAUUUAGAUAUAAUUAGAUAGUUGGAAUAUGAAAUAUUGAAAGUAAAUUGUAUACAUGAUUACUUUCAGAUGAAAGUAACUGACUUGAAUUAUAUUAUUGAUUAUUUUUGGUUAUAUAAAUAUAUGUACCUUAUCAAUGUUGGUUAUUUCUCGGUUCAUAUACAUGACUAGAUUAUGAUCUAAUUUAUAAUAAUAGAGAAAAUUGGAAAAAAGAAACACUUUUAACUUAGUUUUGUCUCAAUAAAACUCGUAGAAGAUUAUUUAGGAAAUUAGGACUUAUAUUCUCUUUAAUACUAUUAUACCCUUCAAUUAACCUAAUUAAUAUUAAUAAUUUGUAAUUGAUUUAAGUUUUAUUAAAAAGGAAAAAAGGAAAAACAUAAAGAAAUGAAACAUCCACUGAAGAGAUAUUGCUCAUCCCGACCAGAGGUCGUCCUCUUUAGCUUCUCACCACCGUGCUCUGUUCUGUUCGUCUCGUCAAUUUUGUGGUCAUGCUCUGUUCCAAUCGCUGCGACCAAGCUUCCUCCACGGCUUCAACUCGUGAUGUCGCUCCUCCGUCUCAUAUCCGAAGGCUCCAAUCUCGUCGUGCUCUCUGCUUCACUCCACUGUCUCUGUUACAUUGGAAUCAUCCCUUGCCGUCGCGGAUCGAAGGAAAGCUUCUCGGAAAGCAACAAUGGCAAGUUUGGGUAAUUUUGCAAGACAGGUCCUCAAACUUUUGACUAAUCACGGAUUUGUCCCAUAACUUUCUGUUUGUACAUAUUGCUCCUCAAAUCAAUUCCAAAACUUUCAGUUGUUCAAUCUAGACCAGUCAGUAUUCCUAUUUUCAGCUUUGGUCCAUGAAUUUUCUGUGUAAUGUUUGCCCCAAUCUUCUAAAUUUACAAAAAUGUCCUUAUGAUUUUGCUUUAAACUUCCAAACGUGCACUUUUGACCUGUCAUAUGAAAUUCAAAAUAUACAAAAGUCAGAAAUUGAUUGUGGAUUAAUAAAGGAUCAAUUUUAAGAUUUUUAUUAUACUUGAUAGUAUAUAAACUGGUGUACAUAUCAAAGUAGUGUAAAUUAUGUGUGGUCUAGUGGCUUGCGUGUGUAUUUUUCUAUUAAAUAACUCGGGUUCGAGUGAAGGAAAAAGCAGUUUUAUGAUUUUUUUUUUUUUAUUUCUGAAAGAAGAUACUAUGAGAGAUUUAUGAUAUAUUUAGUUUAGAUUCAGGAAAGAUUUUUAUCGAAAUAGGGAAGUUUCCAUAUUUUUUGUGAUUUCCCUAUAAUAUGUAUUCUACGUAUAGCAGAGGAUUAAAGAGAGGGUACGGGGUUUAUUCUUCCCUACGCGUAUGAUAACGUAAAAGGUAGAAAAGGUUAUGACACAUAAAAAAAUAAAGGUAUUUCACAGAGUCGAGGUUAUAAGUUGUAAUAAAAGAACAAGUAGACUAAAGACAUCUUGUUAGAAUACUAGUUGACAUAAUCUAGCUCUAGUAGAAUAUAGAAGAAAUGUUUGUUUGUAUUCUCUACCCAUGAUAAAUAUGUGUGUAAUACUUACUAUACGAUUUGUAGACUAGGUAGAUGGCUAGAAUGAGUAUUAUAUACGUGCUAGAACAUUAAAUAAAACAUAAGUCCACUAUUUUUAAAAAUAAAAUUUAAAUAUAUAAAUUGUCAUGCUAAUGUUUCCAAUGGUUUACAUAUUUUUCCCAAUUUUUAAAACUUAGUUUACUAUUUUUUCAAUUCCAAAAGGUAAAACUUGUCCAAAAUGACCAAAUGUAUGAAAAAUCCAAUUUAGACAAACAAAAAUUCAAAGUGUUUCUUUUUGCUAAUUCUCCCUUAUAAAUAUUGGGUAAAGUAAGGCUGUAAGCAUAUAUAUAACUUCCUAGAAGAAAAUACAUAAGACCAUGACCAAGAGAUUCCAAAUAGUCCUUCCAACUUUUCUCUGCAUAAGAGAUCUCAGUUUAGUAGUUGAAAAUCUGACAUAAUUAGUGCACAGAAAAGUCACCAAUUAAUAUUCCAGAUUAUCUCUUAUGCUUUGUUGUUCUUGCCUUCAUAUUAAACCCCAUAAAUGUUAUAAUUCCUGCUCACUAUUUCUCCGGAAUACUGAGGGUUCAAAAGUAUAAGAUUGGUAUGUAAUAGAAAAGCAUAAUGAACCAAUUCGUGACACAAAAUAAAGUAAAUUACUUGCAGAGUCAAUCCAAGAUGAAAACAUUUUUAAAAGUGCAUUGUUCUGAUUCUUCAAGCUAAAACCAAACAUAGCACAUAGAAAAAGAUCAUGCUAGAUAAAGGUUGUUUGAAAUACCAUGUUUACUGUCUUUUUAGGCUGGAUUACGCGGAUUGUCUUCUCUUGAUUCUCGAUUGCCAUUGUUGCUAGAAACCUGAUUUCAUUGAAGCCUAAAAGAGAAAAUCGAGUAAAGCUUGGAAACUGUUUUCCUUCAGCGAUUGAAAUUGAGAUUUAAAACUUCUAGCAAAAUCUUCAAGUUUAUGUGCCAGAUUGUGAAAGUCAUCAUCCUUGGCAAAUAUCAUAUAACCUACUGAAAAUAUAACCGCUAGUAAAGAUUGGUUUGACCCGUUUGGGAUUACACACCCUGUCAGCACAUAAUCCGCGAUAGAGUCUAUGCAAAUGGACAAAAUAACAUCUCUGUUUCCAGCGUCGUUGGUAUCUGCGGCCAAUCUCUAGGUUAUAGCAGAAGAUAUCUGCUGCGGAGGACCGGUAACCGUGGCUUUCCAGGAGUUGAUGAGGAAGGUGUGAUUUUUUAAGAAGGCGAAUAGAGUGAGGAAGAAAACAAAAUGAAUGGAGUAGGAAAAUAAACCAUUGGAGAGAUUUAGAGAGUAAGUUAAUACAUAGUUCCAUAAAUUAAUUGAUGUUUGGUUUACAAUUUACAUUAACAGCAAGAGAAGAAAUGGAUAAGGCAUAUGUAUCUCAAUUAUUAAAAGGAGAUUUAAAAACAAAAUGAUAUAGCUGAUGUGGUAAAAUAAAAGCAUAUAAUUUACCUGAAUUUCCAUGCUGAUGUGGCAUGCUUCUCUUUGGAGCUUUUGGAACUUUUAGUAUUGCAAGAUAUGAAAAUAAUUAGAAUGAUAAAAUGUAUAAACUGAAUCAGCUAAAACUGAAAUUGUAAGAGAAACUAAACAAUAACGAAAUUAUGAUUAUAACAAGCUAUGAAAUUAAAACUUCUUACUUAAUUUAAUUAAAUGAUACAAACAUUAGUAUCCACAUUUACCAUUUUGUGCAUUUACUAUCACAAUAAUACAUUCGAGAGAAUCACAUUUUCAAAAUAUGAAAACAUGAAAAAGAAACUACAUAUCACUCACGCUUACACCAUUCUAAUGAGGUUACACAAUCAAGUAUAGACUAAUGAAAAUAUAUGACACAUUCUAAGAUCAUGAGACCAAAAGAAGAGUUUAAGUCUAACACUAGUGACUUUCAUAAACUCAAUAGAACCAUAAGAAAUGCACAUUAUAAACCAAAAUACACAAGCAUAUUUAAAACUAACUUAUUCUGACCUGAUGAGAAGUUAGUGAAGCAUUUUAUUUGUUUGAACACAAAAAAAAUAAAAUCUUGACAUCUAAUGCCAAGGAAUGUCUGGUUGAUUAGAAAUUAAAGGAGUCCAAAACACUCAGAAUUAGAUGGUGGACUUCUAGACCCCUUCCAAACUACUUUUACUUAGUCAUUUUUUUUUUGUUUUUUCCCAUAAGUCCACAAAAUUAUGUGAUUAAUCAAAUAUUUUCCCAAACUAAUUAUUUCAAGUUAAUAAGACAAAUUUUCUUAAAUCAGAACAAAUGCAAUUAGCAAUUGGAACUACCUUUUUUUAAAUAAUAAUUAUCAUAUAUCUGAUCCAAUAAGAGAAAUUGAUUUAUGAUGCACAAAAAAAGCUCGACACAUUAAUAAAAAAUCUUAUGCUAAAGUAUCCUAUAUCUGCUUCUCCUUCUUCUUUGCAACUUCUUCUAGAGCAGAAGAUGAGAGGAAGCAACAUGAUGAUGAGCUUGAGGUUGAGGAGAGUAGAGCAGAAGCUGAGAGAAAGCGGCAUGAUGAUGAGUUUGCAGCAUGAAUAUCUACUGAGGAGCUAGAACUUCAAGUUAUUUAUGAGAGGAACAAAGAAGCGGACAUGGAGGAGCUGCUAAGUUUUUGUAACCAAUAUCAUCUCGACAUGAAAUCGAAGGUGCCUGCAAAAGGAGUAGCCAGAAAGGGAAUGUCCGUUGUUGAUUGCAAGUUCUGGAAGACACGUUGGAACUAUGCCUCAGAUGUAAACCAGAAGAAAUUGAUGUUUGAGAAAGGGGUUGUGUAUGAUUGUUUCAGAGGUUGUUAAUUGACAUUUGGUUAAUUGAGCUAGAUUAUGUCCGUUGUUAAUUGACGUUUGGUUUACAAUUUACAUUAACAGCAAGAGAAGAAAUGGAGAAGGCAUAUGUAUCUCAAUUAUUAAAAGGAGAUUUAAAAACAAAAUGAUAUAGCUGAUGUGGUAAAAUGAAAGCAUAUAAUUUACCUGAAUUUCCAUGCUGAUGUGGCAUGCUUCUCUUUGGAGCUUUUGGAACUUUUGGUAUUGCAAGAUAUGGAAAUAAUUAGAAUGAUAAAAUGUAUAAAUUGAAUCAGCUAAAACUGAAAUUGUAAAAGAAACUAAACAAUAACGAAAUUAUGAUUAUAACAAGCUAUGAAAUUAAAACUUCUUACUUAGUUUAAUUAAACAAUACAGACGUUAGUAUCCACAUUUAUCAUUUUGUGUAUUUACUAUCAAAAUAUAUUCGAGAGAAUCACAUUUUCAAAUAUGAAAACAUGAAAAAGAAACUACAUAUAACUCACGCUUACACCAUUCUAAUGAGGUUACACAAUCAAAUAUAGACUAACGAAAAGAUAUGACACAUUCUAAGAUCAUGAGACCAAAAGAAGGGUUUAAGUCUAACACUAGUGACGUUCAUAAACUCAAUAGAACCAUAAGAAAUGCACAUUAUAAACCAAAAUACACAAGCAUAUUUAAAACUAACUUAUUCUGACCUGAUGAGAAGUUAGUGAAGCAUUUUAUUUGUUUGAACACAAGAAAUAAAAAUUUUGACAUCUAAUGCCAAGGAAUGUCUGGUUAAUUAGAAAUUAAAGGAGUCCAAAACACUCAGAAUUAGAGGGUUGACUUCUAGACCCCUUCCAAACUACUUUUACUUAGUCAUUUUUUUUUGUUUUUUCCUAUAAGUCCACAAAAUUAUGUGAUUAAUCAAAUAUUUUCCCAAACUAAUUAUUUCAAGUUAAUAAGACAACUUUUCUUAAAUCAGAACAAUUGCAAUUAGCAAUUGGAACUGCCUUUUUAAAAAAUAGUGAUUGUCAUAUAUCUGAUCCGAUAAGAGAAAUUGAUUUAUGAUGCACAAAAAAAGCUCGACACAUUAAUAAAAAAAUCUUAUGCUAAAUUAUUCUAUAUCUGCUUCUUUUUAUUCUUUGCAACUUCUUCUCUUAUUAUCUCACCUAACAUAUAAUACGGUGACGUGGCCUUGCUCAAGACUCUUGUUACCUUUUCAUCGCCGUUGGAUAAAAGCGAUUGCGAAGGAUGGAGUUAUUUGGUUGAUCAUUCCUAAUCUUUAGUUUGCUUUUGUAUUGAUCUUGGAUUGCAUGCCGUGUCAGCUUGUUUUGGUGCUACAUUUUUAACUUGAUAUUAUAUACAAUUUUUAGCUGAUUAAUAAGUAAAAUAUUCAAUAAAAAUAUUCAUAAUUUUAGAAGCUAUUGAAUGUUGAUCAAUUUUUUUUUUGACAUAUUUUCUGCUAUUUGGUCUGUAAUAUCCAAAAUAUAAAAGUAACAUACAAUUUCUUAGUGUGGAAAAUACAUGUGUCAGAUAAAGCCACAUAAUCAGAGGCACAUUGGGAUAUACUAUAUGUUUUGGGUUAGAAGGGGAAAAGAACAAAAAACUCUUACUCUUUUUUUUUGUCAACCCAAUGAAGUCUUACUCUUUUUGGAUAUCCAUCCACUUAACAUUUUAGCCUCAGUCUUUAAUAUCACUCCAAAAUCACACAUUCUUAGCUUUUAGCCUAGUACCAAAAUCACAGCUGGUAGAGCCAGAAUCACAAAGUGUUACUUACAUAUAUAUAUCCUAAAUUAUAUAUGCAUUUUAAAUGGACUGAUUUUUUUAUGUAAAAAUAAUUGAGUUGGAACUAAUCCAAUUAAGGUUCUGAAUCUGAUUUGACCCAACAUAAAUAAACUAGUCUUAUAUUGAUAUAUCAUCCUAAGAACUUGUACCGGUAUCAAACCUUAUCAACCCAAGAACUAAUGAAUAUCCAAAAAUAUCUCAAAUAUAAAUAUAUAAGUAUAUAUAUACAUAUAUAUAUCUUAAAAUAUUAUUUAUAAUUGUAUUUGUAGUAAUCAUAAAUUAAAUAUAUUAAUUAUUUUGAGUAUAAAUUUAGAUAUAAUUAGAUAGUUGGAAUAUGAAAUAUUGAAAGUAAAUUGUAUACAUGAUUAUUUUCAGAUGAAAGUAACUGACUUGAAUUAUAUUAAUGAUUAUUUUUGGUUAUAUAAAUAUAUGUACCUUAUCAAUAUUGCUUAUUUCUCGGUUCAUAUACAUGACUAGAUUCUGAUCUAAUUUAUAAUAUCUCAAUGGGACCUUUUUAUUUGUCAACUAUCUCAAUGCGACCUAAAUUCACAAUUAAUUUAGAUUUAUAAUAUUUGAACGAAGACCCAUAAAUGCAGCUCUAUGAUAAUAAAUGCAUCAAGUUUUAUGAUAAUAAAUGCAUCGACCUCUGUUUCCUUCCUACAUUUACUGAAUACCAUUUUUAAUAAACAACUUUGGAGUAAAACAAAAGAAGUGGAAAGAGAAAUAGAAAAGAAAAUAAAACAUAUGUACCUUUUCAAUAUUGGUUAUUUCUCGGUUCAUAUACACGACUAGAUUCUGAUCUAAUUUAUAAUAUCUCAAUGGGACCUUUUUGUCAACUAUCUCAAUGGGACUUAAUUUUUCAAUUAAUUAAAAUUAUAAUAUUUGAAUGAAGACCCAUAAAUGCAGCUCUAUGAUAACAAAUGCAUUGGGUUCUAUGAUAAUAAAUGCAUCAACCUCUUUUCCCUUCCAUAGAUAUACUGAAUACCAUUUUUAAUAUACAACUUUGGAGUAAAACAAAAGAAGUGAAAAGAGAAUAGAAAAGUAGAAUAAAAUAUUUUAUCUGACAAAUCCAAGAGUAAAAUUGUAGAGUGGUUUUUCACCUUUUCUACAGGACACAGAGUAAACAUGACACGAUGAUUGUUUAUUUUUAAUUGAUAAAUUUAUAGUUGAAUAUGGAGUAAAUAAAAAUUCAGAGUAAAAUUUUACUCUAUAAAUACCAUUCACUCAUACACUCUAUGACUAACAAAAAACUAAUUGCUGAUGUCAGCAGUACAACCCUUCUCACAACACUUAAUAAAAAAAAGUCUUCAUGAACUAGAAUAUUUACAAAGAAAUGUUAACAAAACAUAUAUUCUGUUGCAAGGUCCACACAUCAUAGAUCCAAUCAUAGUGUUUGCCAUGUUCAACAUAAUUCGACCACGAUUUGGCAUUUAAUGUGCUACUGUUCCACGAUCGUAGAAAGCACUAGAGUUAUGUGAACAAUUUUAUUCUUUUUUUUGUCUCUUGGUCUUUUGCCAGAUGGCAAACUCUUAAAACAGAUGUUACUUACUCUUGGUUUAGAGGUCGAAUUAGAGUCAAACAAUCAAUAAUUCAAAAUUUUCCAAUCAAAUGCAUUGGUAAACUAAUACCCUGCAAAUAUAUAGGUAAACCAAUAGUUCUUAAUAAGAAAAUAUCCGAGUAUAAGCUGUAUUUUUCAAUACAACUGUAAAUAUAUCAGUAACUAUUACCUCAACAGGUGUAAGCUUUCUCUUUUCACUGAUCUUGUCAUAAUUUUCCUUUAUGGUACGUGCAUGAAGGCCUUGACAAGACAUAUUAGGAAGAGAAAUCUAGGGAUAGGAGGUAAAUGUAUCAAAUUAUAAAUAUUGGGUAAAGUAAGGCUGUAAGCAUAUAUAUAACUUCCUAGAAAAAAAUACAUAAGACCGUGACCAAGAGAUUCCAAAUAGUCCUUCCAACUUUUCUCUGCAUAAGAGAUCUGAGCUUAGUAGUUGAAAAUCUGACAUAAUUAGUGCACAGAAAAGUCAUAUAUAUCUGCUUCUUCUUCUUCUUUGCAACUUCUUCUCUUAUCAUCUCGGCUGCUGUUUAGAGAAGGAUUAAAACUAACCAUUUUUUUUAUGCCCACGCGUCAAGUUCAGCAUCUUCUUCUUCCGUAGAUUCUUCAUCAGAGUUUCUCUGCUUUGGAGAAGACAAGAGGUUGAGCUGAAAAUGAGAAUGGUUUCUUAACCAUUCUCAAUUGAGAGAAUCCCAGUGAACCUCUUCUUCUCAAACCAAAAUGGCACUUUGAAAGUGGAAAAAUGGCACUUUUAAAAACCAUUUUCAUCUUGAAAGAAAAGUGUUGAGUCGAUAUUGAUAGAAAGAGCAAGAGUGAUCUUCUCCACCUCCUCAUAUACUGAUAAGCUUAACGAAUUUGAAUAAAUAAAAACACAUAGCAUAAAUUUAGUAAAUAGUGAAAAUAAGGUUAAAAACGUUUUUAACAUUCUAUAUGGCAAUCAACAGAAUGAAUCCUGCAGAAUGUAUGAGGGAUAUGUUGUCCUCUGUUCUUUGACUCGCAGAGAAGACAAGACGUGUGUUUUCUUUUGUGUGUGGUUUCACCGAUUAGCAGUUGAAACUGCCUUUUUAAAAUAACUAGAGAUUUUGCCCGGGUUUAUACAAAAAUCAUUAUAUUUAAUAUGUAUUAAGAAAUUUCCUAAACCUUAGUAAAUAUCCAGAAAAUUAAGCACUUGGUUUUAGCCAAUUAUGUGACUAAUUUUUCUUGGGGAGCACGUCAAUAAAUAUAAAAACACAAAAGAUAAGUAACCGAUGCCUUUCCCUUCGCAUGAUUAAUGACGCAAGAAUGAUCUGGUGACUCUAUUAACACGUACUCUAUGUCCUUUCAAUUAUAUAUAUAUAUAUAUAUAUAUAAUUAAACAUAUAUAAAUAUUUUCUAAAGGAACAUAUUGUUUUCCGUUAUUUAAUGAAACUUAUUUUAAAAAGAGUAUCACUAAUUAAUAAAUUGAGUUCCUGCCAAAAAACUGUAAAGUAAAUGUUUUUUUGUCUUGAUCAGAUUCCCGAAGUGUGUAUUUAGCCCGGUGGUAGAGCAUCCUUUGUAUAUGCUCAUUAUUCAUGGUUCGACCCCUGGCACCAAUAUUUUUUGUGUUCGGCAAAUAAUCAUAGUGUAAUGAUGAUUACUUACGUAGUAUUCGUAGUUUUAAUAUCAAAUAAUUAAAUAAGAGAAUUUGUACCUUUCUUAUUUUUUAAAUCAUAUAUGUUAUAAUAGAGAAAGUCUACUCUAAAGUUUACUAUAAAUCAUGUAUAAAGAUUCAAUUAUCUCAGUUCCCUAAUUUUUAUUACAUACAAAUAAGAGAUAAUUUUAUAAAUAUAUAUGGAAGAAAUAUAUAAAAGUAAAAUAAUUUUUUCAAGUUUUUAUUUGUCCCUUACUAUUUUAAAAUAAACAACAUAAUUAUUACUAAAAAUAAAAAUACUGUAUAAAUUUUAGCAACUUAAAAAAGGUCAAACCUCAACAUAAACAAAUGAACCAACGAAGCAAAAAUUAUCCAAAUAGAAAAUACGAUAUAUAAAUAAUGUCAACACAAAAACUGAAGCAAACAAACCAAAUCAUAAUAUUUCAACAAAGAAAAAACAAAACCAGAAGCAAAAGAACAAAUAGAUAGUCGUUCUUCAAACACAACCCAAGUACACAAAACAUAUCAGCCACUUUUUGCACGCUUAGCAUCAUCUGACACAAUCAUAUCAGCACCUCUUUUCACCCCCUCAUCUGCAGUAGGAGAGACAACCACGUCGGCGGCUAAAUCGUAUCCAAGUGCUGGAACCUCGAGAGGGAGUACCUUGGUGACAGUCAAAGCUUGAGUCUUGCCUUCCAAGUUGUGCUUUGAUAUCUUGAUAACGAACGUGCGUUUCUGUCCGAUGGUGUCAAUAAGGACUUGAGGCACCGGGACUACAUGAUCAUCUCCUGAUCCCUCAUUAGCCUAUAUAAAUUUAAAAAAUUGUUAGAACACAACCAAAAAUUGAACGAUGGACAGGUAUGUGAUUACCUCAUAGUAACUCUCAACCAAUACAGAUGCUUUCUUCCCAGUUAACUCAAACCCAGCGUCACCGAGAAGUACAAAGCUCGCAUGAUCAUUGUUGUCAUAGACAGAUAGCUUGCUGAGAUACCUGUUUCAAAUGCACAUUAAUAAUGGACGUUGGUGGUGUAUAUGACACAAAAAAUAUAAUUACAAUUCUUACUCUGCAGCACCAGUAAUCUCAGUCUUUCCACACUUCCUACACAUAAGCGUGGUAGGUCCUUUAGUAGCUUUAGUCUUGCAUCCACCACAAGCAAUGUAGUACCAAGCUGAGCCACGCACAACAUCAUCAAUGGUGGCCGUACACUCGAACCAAGCAACCUAUAAUAUUACAACAGUGAAGAUACUCAAUAACAAAUCUAAUUCCAAUGCAAGUAUGAAAGCAUGAGAUGUCGUACCUUCGCUCCUUCCUGCUUCAUGUAAGUGAGUAGCUCACCUAUUGUAGCUGUCUCAGCCUUGGUGACAAUCUCAGCAUUAACUCUAUUAGCAACUUCCGAGUUUGAUUCAAGCCUAGAAAUGUUCAAAAAAUAAAAUAAGCAACACAGUCGGUAGAUUAACGUAAACGGUGCAAAUAUAAAGAUGAAUACAUACCAAGCCAGAUACUCCCUGGUUUGAUGAACAUCCGUAUCAAAAAAAACCCGUGAAGAUGAUAGGGAUGACAGAGACAAAGCACCUGUAGCAUAACCAAUUUCCAUACCCAAAAAAUAACAAAUUAAUCAAACAAUCUAGCCAUAAAACAGCCCUUCUCAACACCUAAUACUACUGUGAUUCCCACGCAACUUACUAACAUCUAUGUACCACAACAAUCGUUAGAUAAUACGAACCUCCUAAUCGCUUAGGAUUCACAGUUGUCACCAUGAUAACACUCGGAGGUUUUCCAAGCGAUAUAAACUUCUCGCAAAAGGCUGUUGCUACCUUGUCCCAUAUGUAGAGCUUCAUCACAGGACCACUGCAUCGAAGAGAACACAUUUAUUAAACAAAGAAGUAUAUGUCUAGAGCAUAAAACUUAGAUGCCUCACUCAUGUGUCUGAACAUGAACCAAAAUUCGCCGAUCAGAAGCUAUCUCAACUUCAUCAAGCACAAAACUCUCGUUAAGAGCCUGCUCAUUCACCAAUUUGAUAUGACCAAUAAAAUCUGCGAUAAAAACAUAACUUAAUAAACAAUCAAGAGAUAUCUGAUCAACAUAAACAGAUAGACUGAGCACAGAUCAUAAAAUAUAAGAGAUCUUACCAUACAGAUCCCCUUUGAGGUCACAGGCCGCUUCGAACUGUUCAUAACCAUGGAAACGAAAACGGUCUUCAGGAAACCAAGUCGAAGUGUCUGUGAGAUCGGAGAGGACAGACUUCCAUGAGAACGCAAUGGUCACGUCUGGAUCAGCAACCCGGUACACCUUCUUGGUCUUAGAACCAAAAAAAUUGGUAAGUCUGUAGGUGGAACCGGGCUUCAUGUGUCGUAGAUAAGUGUCCAUCCUUGAUGGUGGGAUGAAUCCCUGAAUCACAGUGCCCUGUUUAGAACGAACAAAUCAAGAUUGUUAGUAAUCUGUGUCGCAACAUAAACAAUAAAAAAAAAAGAGAGAAGAUGUCGGAACAAACCUCUGCGUCGACCAGAAGCAUCUCUAGACCCAUAAGUAUCUUCGAGAAUGCGUGUUUUGCCUCCCAAAAAUGGAUCAGACGAAAUCUUAACUCGUCUUCUUGUGGUCCAAACGUCACAUCUUUGAAGAACACGACGCGAUCGCUGUUGUCGGAGGGGACAUCGGAGCAGACAACGGCCUUGCCGUUACGUUUUGUCGAAGAGGAAUCACCGGAGACACCGGAUUGGCCAAUAGGUUUCAUCGAUGCGACGGAGGGGAUCGUCGGUGCGGCGGAGAUUUUCAUCGCCGCGGCGGAGGGUUUCAUCGAUGCGGCGGAGGGUUUGACCGGUGCGGCGGAGGAGACAGCGUCCUUCCCGUUAGGUUUCUUGGAGAUAAGAUCGCCGGAUGCGGAGUUUUUGCUGUUGGAAUUCAUCGGGAGAGAAGAUAGUUUUGCGGGGAAUCAAACUGGUGGAAUGAUCGGGGUUAUAAAAGAAAUCAGAGUGAGGGAUGCGAAAGGGAUCCAUUAAUGGAGGUUAAUGAGGAUUUUAUGAAGGAGUGAAUGAACAGACGAAACCGAUAAAGGGAAGAAGUGGGAAGGACGAAAGGGAUGAGAUAUUUGUCUGCGCAAGGGAGAAUGAAGUUAGGGUUCGUCGAGGUUCGUCGAGGCACGAUGCGGUCUGCGCAAGAGAAAUAAGGCUAGGGUUUGUGGAGGCUCGAUACGGUGUUCUCCGUUUGGCCAAGCUUAUGGGCUUAUGGGCCAGGUACAUAACAAAAAUAAAACAUAACGAAGUCCAUCGUAAUGAAGCCCAACGAAGCACAGAUGUGGAAGAAAGAUGCAACGGGAUUGGCUGAUUAUUUCAUCCGACGUGGACGUCUGAGCGCUGAGCGUAUUCCCCUUUUACUUAUUAGAUGAUGAUUAUCCUAUAUCUGAUCCAAUAAAAGAAAUUGAUUUAUGAUGCACAAAAAAGCUUGACACAUUAAAAAAAAAUCUUAUACUAAAUUUUCAACUUAAAAAAAAAUUGGGGGUUUAAGAUUCAUCAUCAAAACCAUAUUGUGAGGUUUGGAGAAUCAAAAUCGCUGUUUGGUCAUGGUUUUGGAGGGUGAAAAUCAAAAUUAAUUUGUUUUAGGUAAAGUUGAAAAUGUGUUUCAUCACCAGAUGAAAGAGAAACAUUUUUUGGGUAGUGUGAGGGUAAGUCACUAACAAAUCACUAGGUUAAAACAAACCAAUAGAAAAGGAGACGCUCUCAGGCACACUUAUCCAAGCCCUAAAAUCAGAUAUGGUUCCCGACGCCGGCAGCUCCACAGCUCGCCGGCGUCGCUGCUUCUCGCCAUGCUCUGCUCUCUUCUCUCCUGUUUUUCCUUUUUAUGCUACUUUGCUUCACGGAUCUCUCGAGGCGUUUGGUUUUGUGGUUCUCUCCGUCGUGGAUGGCUUCGCUCGUCGUCGCUGCUACCAAGCCAAAGCCCUCUGGAUCCUUUCUCUCACGUGUAACCCUCUUCAGCCGCUACUAACUACGUCUGUUUCAGAUCUACUUUUGACUACUUGUGUGUGGGGAUCCAUACUUAUCCUGGUGGUUUGAACUGAAACUGUAUCUCUCCGGCCAUAUCGUUGGGUUCAAGGUACUCACUUGUUUUCCCUCUC
rnacentral:lncRNA from 1 species